rnacentral:rRNA from 1 species
CUUGCUCCUGGUGGCGAGUGGCGAACGGGUGAGUAAUGCGUCGGAACGUACCGAGUAAUGGGGGAUAACGCAGCGAAAGUUGUGCUAAUACCGCAUACGCCCUGAGGGGGAAAGCGGGGGAUCGUAAGACCUCGCGUUAUUCGAGCGGCCGACGUCUGAUUAGCUAGUUGGUGGGGUAAUGGCUCACCAAGGCGACGAUCAGUAGCGGGUCUGAGAGGAUGAUCCGCCACACUGGGACUGAGACACGGCCCAGACUCCUACGGGAGGCAGCAGUGGGGAAUUUUGGACAAUGGGGGCAACCCUGAUCCAGCCAUUCCGCGUGAGUGAAGAAGGCCUUCGGGUUGUAAAGCUCUUUCAGCUGGAACGAAACGGUGUGCUCUAACAUAGCGCGCUAAUGACGGUACCAGCAGAAGAAGCACCGGCUAACUACGUGCCAGCAGCCGCGGUAAUACGUAGGGUGCGAGCGUUAAUCGGAAUUACUGGGCGUAAAGCGUGCGCAGGCGGAUUGUUAAGCAAGACGUGAAAUCCCCGGGCUUAACCUGGGAAUGGCGUUUUGAACUGGCAGUCUAGAGUGUGUCAGAGGGGGGUGGAAUUCCACGUGUAGCAGUGAA